GGCAAGUCAGCUCAGAGGUUCAUGCUUUCUCUUCUCUCGAUGGAUAUUUAUCCAUGGGAGUAGCUUCAGCUUCUCCUCAGGGAGUUGACUACAGUGGUUAUGUAGGGUUUGGCACUGUGAGCACAGUGGGCAGAGGACCAGUGGACCCUGCCUCAAGGUGCAGGAUCACAAGGUCUCUACCUCUCUUCUGUGUGUCACGUAUGAUGACGUGAAAGAGAAACCAUGGUGCCAACUGGGUCUGAGCUUCUUACUUCAGGCUGAGUGAGGCCCUGAGAGUCCCUGGCCCCUCAGCCACGUGAGCACGUGUGUCCUGUAGAUCAGUGUGACUUCCAUGGGCACUGGGGUCUUGGAGUUCAUGUCAGCUGCACAGAUGUGCCAUGUCUACAACAGGAAGGUGGAACUGAGUCCCGGGCUGUCAUUGGCCAGCAGUGUUCCCAGAUUCACAAUUCUCUGUAUACCUGUCAACAGAUGAUUAAUCAUUGUCACUUGGACUCCACUGGAAGAGGACAAAUGGAACCUGGGACAAGUGCUUGAGACCCAUGAGCCUGUGAGCAGGCAAUGUCUGAGACUUGGGACAUGUUGAUAGCCGUGUCUCCACAUAGCUGGGGCACCAUUUGUACCAGCAAUGGGGUUUAGGAGAGUGGCCUCGGAUUGCCUGAGUCAGACUUGGAUUGUGUGAAGACUAAGAUCAGCAAUGCCAUGUUUUCUCCUGCAUCCCUUCACUGCAGCAAGCUGAGCUGGGAGGACAGCAGCUUUUCUAGCAGUGAGAGACCCCUUAACCAUGUGUGACACUUCAGGAUCCUGGGGAUCGACACCAACAUCUGUUCCCAAAACAAGAAUUGUGCUGAAUCCCACAAGUCAUUCACACUUCCUCACAGCAACUGCAGAGUUCUGUGGUUUGUUCCCAAUCCAGCAGAGGAUGGGCGGGUCUUUCAGUGUGAUCUAGGGUCAAUCACUGGACACCAGCACAACAACUGCUCUUCCUAUUUUGUCUCGAUGCUUCCCCCUCUCAUCCUCCUUCUCAUUCCCUCUUCUAUCUCUUCAUCACCUUCUGACCUCCUCCUCCUGCUACCUUUUUUUGUUAGAGAGAGAG